AAAAACUAAGGAAGAUGAAUUAGAAAAUAUAGUAGAAAAAUGGAUAUAUUUCUUUAAGUAUGCAAGUGAAACUAGUGCAGAUGAUCUAAAGAAAGUAGUAGGGAGUGAUGAGAUUAUUGGCAAAGCAUAUAAUGAGUUGAUAGAGUAUAAUUGGACUAAGGAAGAACGAACUAUAUAUCAACAGGCUAAGAAAAAUGAGGAUGAUAAUAUCUCUUGCCUUAAUCAAAAAUUUGAUGAGGGUAUGGAGA